GAGUUUGAUCGUGGCUCAGAAUCAACGCUGGCGGCGUGCCUCAGACAUGCAAGUCGAACGAUUAAAGCUCUCUUCGGAGAGUGUAUAGAGUGGCGCACGGGUGAGUAACACGUAAGUAAUCUACCCUCGAGUGGGGAAUAACGUCCGGAAACGGACGCUAAUACCGCAUAAUGCAGCGGCACCGCAAGGUGACAGUUGUUAAAGAUUUAUCGCUUGAGGAGGAGCUUGCGGCAGAUUAGCUAGUUGGUAAGGUAAUGGCUUACCAAGGCUACGAUCUGUAACCGGUCUAAGAGGACGGUCGGUCACACUGACACUGAAUAACGGGUCAGACUCCUACGGGAGGCAGCAGUCGGGAAUUUUGGGCAAUGGGCGAAAGCCUGACCCAGCAACGCCGCGUGAAGGAUGAAGUAUUUCGGUAUGUAAACUUCGAAAGAAUAGGAAGAAUAAAUGACGGUACUAUUUAUAAGGUCCGGCUAACUACGUGCCAGCAGCCGCCGU
rnacentral:rRNA from 1 species